UUUAGCUGAGACUACAAAUCACUAGAGUGUAUAUAUUACCUGUAUGGGCGGAUUCGAAUUCUCGGCCUGGACUCCAGUUCAGAAAUGGACACCGUUAUCCCGAUCACCGUAACUGCGUAGGGCCGAUUCAUACCGGUCGAAGACCGACGUCCGCCUGAGUACGUGCAGCUGACCUAGAUGCCGGGGAGCACCCCACCGGUGGAGCCUGCGUUUAUGACUCACGCCGGGCAGCUCACCGGAUAGGACAGCGGAUGAUAGCCGGGCUGAAGACCUUGCUUGACCAGCUGAGAGGAGGUGCAUGGCUGUCGUCAGAUCGUACCGUGAAGCAUCCUGUUUAGUCAGGCAACGAGCGAGACCCACGCCAACAGGUGGGCCGGAUGUCCCCCCCAAUGAUGAGGAAAAAUGUAGGGACCGCCUCUGCUUUUUUUUUUUUUAGGAAUGGGCAACGGUAGGUCAGCAUGCCCCGAAUUAUCCGGGCUACACGCGGGCUACAAUGGAAAGGACAAAUAGGAAACGGCACUGAAAAGUGUAGUCAAUCUCCUAAACCUGUCCCAAGUUCGGAUUGUGGGCUGCAACUCGCCCACAUGAAGCUGGAAUCCGUAGUAAUCGCGUUUCAAAAUAGCGCGGUGAAAAAGUCCCUGCUCCUGCACACACCGUAAUCGGAUCCCGGGCCCGGGUUGAAGAGGCCUCUCCAUGCUGGGCUAAAG
rnacentral:rRNA from 1 species